CGCCUGUUUUAUUCAAAACAUAGCCUAAAGUUAGUAUUUUAGGUGAGACCUGCCCAGUGCUAAUAGUAAACGGCCGCAGUACCUUGACUGUGCUAAGGUAGCAUAAUCAGUUGGCUUUUAAUUGGAGUCGGGAAUGAAUGGAUUAAUAGGGUAAAGCUGUCUCUUUCAUAAUGAAUUGAAUUUACUUAUUAGGUGAAAAUGCCUAAAAAUAGAAAAAAGACGAGAAGACCCUAGGAGUUUUUACUAUAGGUUAAUUAAAAUUAGCCAGCGUUUUUGUUGGGGCGACACAGGAGCAUUAGAAACCUCCUUUAUAAAUUUGCCGACGUAGUAUGAACAAAUAAACUACCCUAGGGAUAACAGCGUAAUUCUUUUAGAGCUUGCGACCUCGAUGUUGGACUAGGAAUUUGGUAGGCUAGCCGCCUAUUUAUAUUGUUCUGUUCGAACUGUCUUUCCUACGUGAUCUG
rnacentral:rRNA from 1 species